UUGCCAGAGAACCUAAAAUUCGCAACAGGCACCUGUGAAGCAAAACUCGCAUUUUUCUCAGAUAUCUAUUGUCAGCAUCCAUGGAUAUCUCUUCUAUCGCCGCCAGGCUACGCCACUCCAAGUCAAAGGCUCUCAUCUUUAAGGCUAGGAGAUCCGCCGUCUAUCCGACGUUCAGUCUGAUUCCUCGAUCACGGGAGUGCUAAGCACCUCAUUUCGGCUUUUCCAUCUAACAGUUUGUGAGUUAUAAUUGGCACUUUACUUCAUAUCAACAGGGGAGGUCGUGAAAGCAAUUGUUUUCUUGGAAAUCAUUUCUUCUAGGUUGCAAAUGAUCUUUGAUCGUUCAGCGGCAAUUUGGUUGAACGGAAUGUCUGAAAAGGCUUAUAUUAGAUGUUUCAAUGCAAUGCAGAACAAGAUUGUAGCCAAGGCAAGGGUAGAUGUUUGGGAGCAUGUGAUCCAGUUCGGUUGCGUGAGGCUUAUUUCUUUCGUUUGUGCAGAAGGGAUUAUCUCUAAUUACAUAUUUACUAUAUGCCCACUACUUUCAGCUACAAAGAUAGAUUUUUAGCUGCAUUACCAGCCUCUCACAGAGCAAAAACUGACUUCAACCGUCCUGUCUUUAUAGCAGUUGCAGUUUAUCUGUGCUAAGAAACACAAGCUCCUACAAAGCAAUCCAGGCAGACUCAACUCAACUUCUUGGGAAAGCUCCAACAAGAAAUCCAAUCAAUACUCACUUUUUCAAUGCAUUUUACUGAAAUUUUGGCUCAUCUAUUCAAGGAGCAAAUGGCAUCAUAUGCCUUAUGUUAUAGAGCUUGAAAGUGGCGACACAUUUUGCCACAAUGGAUAUACUUAUUUUAAAGAUUGUUAAGGAAAUUUUUUGAAUUUGCAGACUACUUUUGUAGUCAUCGUCAAUUUCUUUAAGUGUAUAUAUCAGAACAACGUGUGAAUAUUA